rnacentral:rRNA from 1 species
GACGAACGCUGGCGGCGCGCCUAACACAUGCAAGUCGAACGAGCGAGAGAGAGAUUGCUUUCUUGAGCGAGUGGCGAACGGGUGAGUAACGCGUGAGGAACCUGCCUCAAAGAGGGGGACAACAGUUGGAAACGACUGCUAAUACCGCAUAAGCCCACGGUGCCGCAUGGCACAGAGGGAAAAGGAGCAAACCGCUUUGAGAUGGCCUCGCGUCCGAUUAGCUAGUUGGUGAGGUAACGGCCCACCAAGGCGACGAUCGGUAGCCGGACUGAGAGGUUGAACCGCCACAUUGGGACUGAGACACGGCGCAGACUCCUACGGGAGGCAGCAGUGGGGAAUAUUGCACAAUGGGGGAAACCCUGAUGCAGCGAGGCCGCGUGGAGGAAGAAGGUCUGCAGAUUGUAAACUCCUGUUGUUGGGGAAGAUAAUGACGGUACCCAACAAGAAAGUGACGGCUAACUACGUG